rnacentral:rRNA from 1 species
UACGUAGGCGGAAUAUUAAGUCAGUGGUGAAAUCCUGCGGCACAACCGUAGAACUGCCAUUGAUACUGAUAUUCUUGAAUAUAGUUGAGGUAGGCGGAAUGUGUAAUGUAGCGGUGAAAUGCUUAGAUAUUACACAGAACACCGAUUGCGAAGGCAGCUUACUAAACUAUUAUUGACGCUGAUGUACGAAAGCGUGGGGAGCGAACAGGAUUAGAUACCCUGGUAGUCC